AUGCUGAACCCCCUGUGCAGCAGUGAACCGAGAGGUUUUCUAGUAUUUUUUUUACCAAAUUUGCCAGAGAGAUAUUUAACUAUGUCUCUGGAUUUAAUCUUGAACUACCUUAUGGUAACAACUUUUAGUCCCGACACAAACCAACUAGUAACGAUUCAAGCAAAAUCGCUGGAGAAUUGGCUCAAAACAAUGAUUUACCCUUGUGUAGAACAAACCAAGAGAAUUUCUGAAUCUUUUUUUUGUCGAAAUACUGAACCCCUUGUGCAGAAGAAAAUCAAGAGAAUUUCUGAAUCUUUUUUUGGUCGAAAUACUGAACCCCUUGUGCAGAAGAAAACCAAGAGAAUUUCUAGCUCUUUUUCAUAG
rnacentral:rRNA from 1 species